GGAGGUUUAGCUCAGUGGUAGAGCGCUUGCCUAGCAAGCGCAAGGCCCUGGGUUCGGUCCCCAGCUCUG
rfam:Rattus norvegicus chromosome 16, whole genome shotgun sequence.